rnacentral:lncRNA from 1 species
UCGGACUCAACUCAACGAGUUUGGAUGCCUAGUUACAUCUCACGAACUCGGACUCAACUCAACGAGUUCGGACAUUCGCAUCCAUAGGUGAACUCGGACUCAACUCAACGAGUUCGGAUGCUCAACCAUCCUAGUGACAUGUCACUUGUAUCCUAAUCUAUCCCUAAGGUUCAAACGGGCUUUUUCCCUCGAUCUCACAUUUGCC